AACGAACGCUGGCGGCAGGCCUAACACAUGCAAGUCGAACGGCAGCACGAAGGGGUAACUCUUUGGUGGCGAGUGGCGAACGGGUGAGUAACGCGUAGGGAUCUGCCUGUUAGAGGGGGAUAAGCCGGGGAAACUCGGUCUAAUACCGCAUACGCUCUACGGAGGAAAGUAUGGGAUUUAAUUACCAUACGCUAACAGAUGAACCUGCGUUAGAUUAGCUAGUUGGUAGGGUAAAGCCUACAAGGCGACGAUCUAUAGCUGGUCUGAGAGGAUGACCAGCCACACUGGAACUGAGAGACGGACCAGACUCCUACGGGAGGCAGCGAGUGGGAGUAGUUGGACAAUGGGGCAACCCUGAUCCAGCGAUGCCGCGUGUGUGAAGAAGGCCUGAGGUUGU
rnacentral:rRNA from 1 species